UACAGAGGUCCCAAGCGUUACUGAGAAUCACUGGGUUUAAAGGGUGCGUAGGUGGUCCGUUAAGUCAGUUGUGAAAUCCCCGGGCUCAACUCGGGAACUGCUUCUGAUACUGGCGGACUUGAGGCCAGUAGGGGUCACUAGAACUGACGGUGGAGCGGUGAAAUUCGUAGAUAUUCGCAAGAACACCAGUGGCGAAGGCGGCUCACUGGCCCGGUACUGACGCUGAGGUGCGAAAGCGUGGGGAGCAAACAGG
rnacentral:rRNA from 1 species